GAUGAACGCUAGCUACAGGCUUAACACAUGCAAGUCGAGGGGAAACGAUAUUGGAAGCUUGCUUCCGAUAGGCGUCGACCGGCGCACGGGUGAGUAACGCGUAUCCAACCUGCCCACCACUUGGGGAUAACCUUGCGAAAGUAAGACUAAUACCCAAUGAUAUCUCUAGAAGACAUCUGAAGGAGAUUAAAGAUUCAUCGGUGAUGGAUGGGGAUGCGUCUGAUUAUCUUGUUGGCGGGGCAACGGCCCACCAAGGCGACGAUCAGUAGGGGGUCUGAGAGGAAGGUCCCCCACAUUGGAACUGGGAACCGGUCCAAACUCCUACGGGAGGCAGCAGUGAGGAAUAUUGGUCAAUGGGCGAGAGCCUGAACCAGCCAAGUAGCGUGCAGGAUGACGGCCCUAUGGGUUGUAAACUGCUUUUAUAAGGGAAUAAAGUGAGUCUCGUGAGACUUUUUGCAUGUACCUUAUGAAUAAGGACCGGCUAAUUCCGUGCCAGCCGCCGCCGUAA
rnacentral:rRNA from 1 species